GAGUUUGAUCGUGGCUCAGAUUGAACGCUGGCGGCAUGCCUUACACAUGCAAGUCGAACGGCAGCACGGGAGCUUGCUCCUGGUGGCGAGUGGCGAACGGGUGAGUAAUGCAUCGGAACGUAUCUUGGAGUGGGGGAUAACGUAGCGAAAGUUACGCUAAUACCGCAUAUUCUGUGAGCAGGAAAGCGGGGGACCUUCGGGCCUCGCGCUCUUGGAGCGGCCGAUGUCGGAUUAGCUAGUUGGUGAGGUAAAGGCUCACCAAGGCGACGAUCCGUAGCAGGUCUGAGAGGAUGAUCUGCCACACUGGAACUGAGACACGGUCCAGACUCCUACGGGAGGCAGCAGUGGGGAAUUUUGGACAAUGGGGGCAACCCUGAUCCAGCCAUGCCGCGUGAGUGAAGAAGGCCUCGGUUG
rnacentral:rRNA from 1 species